GGAAGCACCUGAGGCUGAGGCUUCUGCCGCUGUGGAAGCACCUGAGGCUGAGGCUUCUGCCGCUGUGGAAGCACCUGAGGCUGAGGCUUCUGCCGAGGAGGGACCAAUAGUAGAGGAAAUUUCCCCAGAAGAGGCUGCCCCAGUCGAAGAGGCAGCGCCAGUUGAGGCAGAGUUACAUGCAGCCGAAGAGGUAGCAGUAGUAGUGGAGGAAGCCCCAGUGGAGGAAGCCCCAGUGGAGAAAGCCCCAGUGGAAGAACCAGCAGCAGAGGAACCAGCAGCAGAGGAACCAGCAGCAGAGGAACCAGCAGCAGAGGAACCAGCAGCAGAGGAACCAGCAGCAGAGGAACCAGCAGCAGAGGAACCACCGGCGGCAAAGGAGGCUGUGGCGACAGCCCAAGUGUCUGAGGAUGAGGCGCUCGUCGUGGAGGCGGUGAUGCUGGCAGCAGCCUCAGCCCUGGAUGUCGAGGCAGAGGCAGCCCCGGCUGAGGAAGUCAAGGAGGCCCUCUUCACUUCAUGCCACCAAUGUGAAGCCCCAGCUUCUGAGGCUGAUGUGGCAGUCACCCCCAUGGAGGUUGUAGAGGCUGCAUCUGUGGGGGAAGUAGAGGCUCCCCCUGCUGGUGUGGAGGAGGCAGUCGUCGAGGGUGAGGCAGUGGAGGUGACCGAGGCAGUGGAGGAAGCCAAGGUGGAAGGAGAGACUGCCAGGCCAGUAAAGAGGUCCUGCUCAGUGAUGUGAUAGUACAGAAGGUGCACAGAGUAUGAGCCUGAUGUUGCUGACAGCCCAGUCCUGACUGGAGACCAGCGAGAUGUGCCUUCUGGAACAGUCAGCACCCACAGCUGUCAAUCAAACAGGACGAUCAACAUAAAACACACACAGAAUUAGAACUGGUUUGAAUUGAAUUCUAUAAUUCUAUUUAACUCAUUAUAUAUUUAAAUGUUGUCUAAUGACAACAGUUGUCAACCCGGUAACUACAUUCCCGGUUCUCACUCAGUUUCUUGGUCUUGUAUUAUCCCUACCCAUGGUGAGGUGACACUUCUGUAAGGGUUUGAAGUCUGACUUUAUUCCUAGGCUCAGACCCAAAUGACACCUUAUACCCUAUAUAGUGCACUACUUUUGACCAGGGCCUGGGGGAAUAGGGUGCCAUUUGGGAUGGAUUUCAACUAUUUAUCAGUACCACCCUGUUCCCCAAGGUGGCACUGUUACCAAGCUGACGAAGACCACUUGAAUGUAUUUGAAGUUACUUGAUAAAUUAUUGUGUACUUGACAUUGCCUAAUGAAUUCUGACUAUUUUUUUUUUGAUUCAAUGAAAUAAGAUCUGAAUUGUUGUAUUAAACAGUAGGCCAUUAGACAACAUGUAGAUGGUUGUGUUCUUCAGAGACUGUUGAGUUAGUUCUGCAUGGAGUUUUUUUUAUUCAAUCAGGGAACAUCUAGAUUAAGUUUAGUUCUCAAGCCAGUAGACUGUUGGUAGACAGUGUUGUACCCAUGUGAUGUAAAAAAUAAAAUGUUAUUUUUUUCAGUCCAAUAAUAAUUUAUGUAAUAGCUUUGCAGGUGGGGUGGGGUGGUUGUGUGUGACACAGUAUGGAAAGACUAGUUGUCCAAACUAUCCUAUGGUUAUAUAUUCAUGUUGCUUGUGUAUAUUUUGUAUAGAAAGACUAGUUUGAAGAUCCAAACUAACAAUAUCCUGUCACUAUAGCCAUGUGUAUAUUUUGUAUAGAAAGACUAGUUUGAAGAUCCAAACUAACAAUAUCCUGUCACUAUAGCCAUGUGUAUAUUUUGUAUAGAAAGACUAGUUUGAAGAUCCAAACUAACAAUAUCCUGUCACUUAUUUAAGUCAUUAUGUAAGUGCUAAAACAGUUACUAUGAUGUCAUACUCAGAAACGUGUCAUAUGUUGUAUUUCUAAAUGAAAUGGAGCGUUACGCUUAUUCAGAACGGACAAGUGGACUGUCCACUUUUGACUUUGAACUUCAUUGACAUGAUUCCAUAUGUAAUUAUGAGAUUCAAUUUGGAGAGCCCUUUUUUUUAAUGGAUGAAAUGAUCAAUUCAAUAAUUUUUUAUUAUGUAUAGUAUCUGUUAUUGUGAAGACAAAUUCUUUGUAAAUAAAUCAAGGUGAUUUAAACUGUU
ensembl:lncRNA